rnacentral:rRNA from 1 species
AGUCGAACGGCAGCGCGGGGCAACCUGGCGGCGAGUGGCGAACGGGUGAGUAAUACAUCGGAACGUACCCAGAAGUGGGGGAUAACGUAGCGAAAGUUACGCUAAUACCGCAUACGUUCUACGGAAGAAAGUGGGGGACCUUCGGGCCUCAUGCUUUUGGAGCGGCCGAUGUCUGAUUAGCUAGUUGGUGAGGUAAAGGCUCACCAAGGCGACGAUCAGUAGCUGGUCUGAGAGGACGACCAGCCACACUGGGACUGAGACACGGCCCAGACUCCUACGGGAGGCAGCAGUGGGGAAUUUUGGACAAUGGGCGCAAGCCUGAUCCAGCAAUGCCGCGUGAGUGAAGAAGGCCUUCGGGUUGUAAAGCUCUUUUGUCAGGGAAGAAACGGCCGGGGCUAAUACCUUUGGCUAAUGACGGUACCUGAAGAAUAAGCACCGGCUAACUACGUGCCAGCAGCCGCGGUAAUACGUAGGGUGCAAGCGUUAAUCGGAAUUACUGGGCGUAAAGCGUGCGCAGGCGGUUUUGUAAGUCUGACGUGAAAUCCCCGGGCUCAACCUGGGAAUUGCGUUGGAGACUGCAAGGCUGGAGUCUGGCAGAGGGGGGUAGAAUUCCACGUGUAGCAGUGAAAUGCGUAGAGAUGUGGAGGAACACCGAUGGCGAAGGCAGCCCCCUGGGUCAAGACUGACGCUCAUGCACGAAAGCGUGGGGAGCAAACAGGAGUAGAUACCCUGGUAGUCCACGCCCUAAACGAUGUCUACUAGUUGUCGGGUCUUAAUUGACUUGGUAACGCAGCUAACGCGUGAAGUAGACCGCCUGGGGAGUACGGUCGCAAGAUUAAAACUCAAAGGAAUUGACGGGGACCCGCACAA